AGCGAACGCUGGCGGCAGGCCUAACACAUGCAAGUCGAGCGCCCCGCAAGGGGAGCGGCAGACGGGAGAGUAACACGUGGGAACGUACCCUUUGGUUCGGAACAACCCAGGGAAACUUGGGCUAAUACCGAAUAAGCCCUUACGGGGAAAGAUUUAUCGCCGAAGGAUCGGCCCGCGUCUGAUUAGCUAGUUGGUGAGGUAACGGCUCACCAAGGCGACGAUCAGUAGCUGGUCUGAGAGGAUGAUCAGCCUCACUGGGACUGAGACACGGCCCAGACUCCUACGGGAGGCAGCAGUGGGGAAUAUUGGACAAUGGGCGCAAGCCUGAUCCAACCAUGCCGCGUGGGUGAUGAGGGCCCUAGGGUUGUAAAGCCCUUUCGGCGGGGAAGAUAAUGACGGUACCCGCAGAAGAAGCCCCGGCUAACUUCGUGCCAGCCGCCGCCGUAA
rnacentral:rRNA from 1 species